GAGCGGCCUCGCAGAGCACUGCACUCUCAAGUAGGGAAGGGCCUCGACUCAGCCAGUCGCCAUGGCAACUGCCUGGCAGCCCGACCCCGGUAGGAGGCGAGUCAGAAAGGUGUGGAAGAUUGGAAGCGGACCCCCAGGAGGCCUCCAGGGCACUUUCCUCCCCCCAGGAAAGACAUGGUCAACUGAAUUAAAUGUGGCAUCUGUCAAAUAUAAAGAAGAAAAUCACAAUCAUCGGUCCUUCCGAAGUCCCCACUUUUUCCCACAAGAAAUGUUGUUCAUUUGGGGUGUUUACAAUGUUUUUAACUUUGCAGCUAGCAAACAAUAUAAUUGUAGGGUCUUGCGCAUUAAUUUGCCUGUACAUUGUUUUGUUUUUCUAAGAGUGAUGGAUUUGGGUCUGAGAUGUGGUUAAGACUGCAACUUUCCAUUAUGCAGCUGUUUCAGAGGGAAAGGUCUGUGUGUUCUGGAAGACCUGGGGAUUAUUUGUAUAUCUGCUUUAUGGGUUUGGGCUCUGUAAUGCUGCCAGUUAGAUGAAACUCUGUGUUUCCUCACUCACUGCUUCCUGCCCCAGCAACAUCCCACAACAUGCCUUUAGGGGGAGGUGGGUAUGAGAACUUUCUAUUAAUGAUGUGUGAUACUUUUGUAAUAUCUUUAUUGAUAGCAUUAUAUAGCUAUCAUAAUAAGUAAUGUGCUAAUAAAGUGUCAUCUUUGAUCCCCAGGGCAGCUGUUUGAGUUGGGAAGGGUUUAUUCCCCUCAGUUAACAGGAUAGGGAUGUGAGAGUUCGAC
ensembl:lncRNA